AGCGCGGCUCACUCACCUGCAGGCGGACGUUGAGCAUCAUGGAAGCCACGAUGUAGAGGUAGGGGAAGUUGAUGCGCAGCCGCCAGGCCAGGUCGAAGAAGAUGAGCAGCGUGCGGGUCAGCCCCUUGCAAAAGACCCCAUAGGAGCGGGCGGCGGCCGAGCGCGAGAGGCGGACAGCCAGGCCCGACAGAGCCGCCGCCAUAUAGACCGGCGCCCGCCGCCCGCCCGCCGCGCACCGACCGGCCGCGGACUCGGGCCGCCCGGCGCUCCGAAGCCCGCCCGCCCUCUCGGCGCCGCGUCGCCCCGGGCCGCUGGGCCGCGCUCGGCGCGCUGAGGGAGCGAGGGAGGCGGCGGCGACGCCAGGGGCGGGCGGGCGGCGGGGAGCGGAGUCCACGCGUCACACUCGGGGAAGCUCCUUCGCGAGCCGCUGCCUGGUCCCAGCCGGGCCGCGCGGCCUGACGUCACAAUGCCCGCGCCGCGCCUGCGCACCUCUGCCCCGCCCCCUACCCCGCCCCUUGUCACCUUCCGCAGGUGAGACGCGCAUGCGUGGGCCAGGAGCGGCUGGAUGCUCCCCCAGAGAGGCUGAUGCGUUGUCUCCGUCUGCCCCCUAAAGGAGGACUUCCUCUAACCCAUUCCUUGUGCUUCCGGUGGGCUGUGAGUCACAGGAGGGGCUCCCUUUUCCCCAACAGGCAGAUUGGAACUUACACCAUCAACUCUCUUGGUCCUCAGGCCUUUAGCCUUGGCCUAGAACUACGGCUCUCCCAGGUCCCCAGCUUGUAGCAGAUGAGAGUGAGGGGGACGGAGGAGCUGAAGCAGGCUCCACACUGACAGCAAUGAGCCUGAUGCGGGGCUCGAACUUACGAACUGUGAGAUCAUGACCUGAGUGAAGUGGGAUGCUUAACCAACUCAGCCACCCAGCUGCCGCAAGGUUUUAGGUCUUGAUGGAGUUUUGCAUUACAGCUGCGUAGAUUUGUCAAAAGUCAGUGAAUGGUAAACCUAAGGUUUGUGCAUUUUAUUGUAUAUAGUUUUACCUUAAAAAAAGAUAAUUACAUGUGUGCUAAAGUGUUUAAAGGUGAAAAGUAUUGAUUUCUCUAACUUCUUUUGAAAUGCGGCCAAAAAUUGAUGAAUUGAUUGUUUUAAAGUUUAUCCAUUUUUUUUUGAGAGAUAGAGAGAAAGUAGGGUGGGGGGCAGAGAGAGAGAGGAAGACAGAGAGAAUCCCAAGCAGGCCCCGCACUGUCAGUGCAGAGCACAAUGCUGGGCUCGAACUUGCCAACUGUGACAACAUGAGCUGAGCUGAAGUCAAGAGUAGAACACUUAACCAACUGAGCCACCCAGGCGCCUCUUGAUGAAUUGUUAAACGGAUAAAUAGAUAUGUGAUAAAGCAUAAAUAGGAAAAUGCUAAUUGGAGAAUUUAGAUGGAUAUGUGGACGUUCACUGUACAUUCCUUUCAACUUUUCUGUGUCAAAAUUUGUAUAAUAAAAUGUAGGGGGGAAGCAAAGAGAAAAAGAGAAGUACAGGGGUAGUGUGACCAUUCACAUCAAGAACUACUUCUCUAUUGUCUCCUCGUUACUUUUUCAGUGUUGUCACAUCCUCGUUCUGUCACCAGAGCCCAGCUGGUCCACAACAGUGCUGGUUUGUCUUUCACUAUCCCUGGCUGUCCACGCUGGGGGAAGUAGGAGGAAGUGGCCAGGAAUACAGACAGCAUGUGGUUUAUGGCCACAAAAUUUCCCCGCUCCCAAGUGGGCUGGUCAUAAAACAGUCACCAUCCCCAGUGUGGGGGUGGGGGCCCUUCUCCCCUCUGCUGUGUUGCAUCUCUGGCUUCUGCGCUCCAGCUUCUUUUGGUUUAUUUCCUCCUCGUGGAGGAACACAUGUUCCAGAAGCUUCCUGGGAUAUGGUGUGUGGGAGAUAAAACUUUUUUAAGAACUGACUUGUCUGAAAAUGUUCUCAUUUCACCCACCCACUUGAUCGAUAGUUUGGCCGUGAAUAGAAUUCUCAGUAAAAAAAAUCAUCUUUCUUCAGCAUCUGGAAGGCAUACUGCUCCAUCAGGGCAACUGUUGGGAAAUCUGAAGCCAUUCUAUUUCCUGUUUCCUUGUGUUUUCUCUUUGGAAACUUGUAGAAUCUUAUCUGUUCCCAUUGUUCUCAAGUUUUCACAAUGAUGAACUCAAGGGCGGGUCUAUUUUUUUAUUCACGGGGCUGGCAUUUUCUGUCUCUGAACUCAAGUCUGGGAAAUUUCCCUGAAUAUUUUCGUGGAUAUUUUCCUCCUUUGCUUUUUCUUUGUUCUUUGUUUUCUAUUACAGGAUAUUAUUAGGAUGACAGUUGGACUUCAUCAGCUAGUUCCCUAAUGUUCUCACCAUUUCCUAUUUUCUAUCUUUCCAUGUCUUCUGGGUCCUCUGAGAGAUUUUCUCAUCUUUCUGUUG